UACGUAGGGUGCGAGCGUUAAUCGGAAUUACUGGGCGUAAAGCGUGCGCAGGCGGUUUUGUAAGCCAGAUGUGAAAUCCCCGGGCUCAACCUGGGAAUGGCAUUUGGGACUGCAAGGCUUGAGUGCGGCAGAGGAGACUGGAAUUCCUGGUGUAGCAGUGAAAUGCGUAGAUAUCAGGAGGAACACCAGUGGCGAAGGCGGCUUUCUGGCCUGUUCUUGACGCUGAGGCGCGAAAGCUAGGGGAGCGAACGGG
rnacentral:rRNA from 1 species